GACGAACGCUGGCGGCGUGCCUAAUACAUGCAAGUCGAGCGAAGUUUUUCUGGUGCUUGCACCGGAAAAACUUAGCGGCGAACGGGUGAGUCACACGUAAAGAACCUGCCUCAUAGACUGGGACAACUAUUGGAAACGAUAGCUAAUACCGGAUAACAGCAUUAACUGCAUGGUUGAUGUUUAAAAGUUGGUUUUGCUAACACUAUGAGAUGGCUUUGCGGUGCAUUAGCUAGUUGGUGGGGUAAAGGCCUACCAAGGCGACGAUGCAUAGCCGACCUGAGAGGGUGAUCGGCCACCCUGGGACUGGGCCACGGCCCAGACGCCUACGGGAGGCAGCAGUAGGGAAUCUUACGCAAUGGGCGAAAGCCUGACGGAGCAACGCCGCGUGAGUGAAGAAGGAUUUCGGUUCGUAAAGCUCUGUUGUUAGGGAAGAAUGAUUGUGUAGUAACUAUACACAGUAGAGACGGUACCUAAUCAGAAAGCCACGGCUAACUACGUG
rnacentral:rRNA from 1 species